rnacentral:lncRNA from 1 species
UUGCCAGGGUUUUUUUUAUUUCUUUAUCUUUUGUUCUUGGAUUUGGGAUUUUGUAUAUAACGACUCAUCGAUAUUAAACGAACCGAAACACAAGGAAUGGUGUCGUGUGUCAUCUUUCUACAUCAGUUUCCGCGUGUUACAAAGUGGCGUUGUCAGCAGGAUCGAUGUUCGUCGUUGGAUACAACCAUGUUCAAACCCUGACAAUCUGAGGAGCUCAUCCGUCUGUUGUACAUCUUAAAUUUCCCGACAUUCAUGUUGAUUAUUAACUCGCGCAUGUUCAACCCGGCCCGUGUCUGAGCAGAGAAGGCGUGGCAACUCCGUCAUGCAUGGCUAUCAAAAUACUCACCAGAACCAUGAGAACAGGAAUAAAGUGACUGUUUAUAGGCCUACACUGUAAGGGCAUCAAUCUGUAAUUGAUUGAUACAAUCUGAUUUUUUUUUAAUCGUUCGCUAGACUUGUACUUAACUUUUGUAUUAAACAUCCCCCACAUCAUCUUAAGACAUAUUUCUGGGUAUACUCUUAAUUCAUUUCAAACUGACCGUUUAUUUUAUUUUUUUUAAGUGUAAUGAUUUUCAAAUCUUAUAUAUACUUGGGUGGUUGAGCUCUGCUCUAAUGCUUCCAAUGAUAUGUUCUUGCUGACCAAGAUGGGUCUUGUUCUUUUUGUACAUGUAAUUUAUAUUGAUAUUUACUGCACAUUUGCACCACAUACAUACAUGAACACCCGUUCAAUCACUAGCAAAAGCACCUACACGACAAGCACCCUUGCAGUUGACCCCUUUCUUAGUUUAUGGUACUUUACAUUUUAUCAAUUUUGAUGGAGUCCCUCUCUUUUAUUCUUGAUAAUUACAUAGACAAUUCACAUGACAGCAAAUACUAUACACCUCAAGAAUUUAAUAAUAUGUUUGAUAGUAAUUCCGAUCAUAUUUCCCUUUUACAUGCAAAUUUAAGAAGUCUCAAUAGAAACUUCGAAUAUUUUGAAAAUCUCUUACACACAUUAAAUAAUUUGAAAUUUUCUGUUAUAGGUAUUAGCGAGACAUGGUUGCAUGAUAAUUCCCCAAAUUUGUUUAAUUUACCAAAUUAUAAGUUGAUAAGGGCAGACCGCAAAGGAAAAAGAGGCGGAGGCGUGGCCUUCUAUAUUAUUGAUAAACUAAAAUUUAAGAUCCGUUCCGAUGUGAAACUCUUGCAUGCAGAGGCUUUGUUCAUUGAAAUUGAAAACACAGGAUUUAAAAAUAUCAUCAUAGGUUUGAUUUAUAGAUCACCAGGCUCUAAUCUUGAUUUGUUUUGUAAGGAGCUAGAGCAAUAUUUAUAUGCAAUAGGUAAUGAAAAUAAACAUACUUUUAUUUUUGGUGAUUUUAAUAUCAAUUUCCUACCCGCGGUCGACAGUGAUCACUCAAUCAAUUUUAUGAAACUAAUGUACUCAUUCGGCUUCCAUUCAUUCAUCAAUAAAUCCACUAGAAUCAACCCAAAUUCAUCUACUCAAAUUGACAAUAUUUUUUCCAACGUACAUAGCAACAUGAAUAAUAAAAUGGUAGGAGGAAUUCUAUGCUCUGAAGUUUCAGACCACCUACCAAUAUUUUUAACUUGUGAAAUGAAAUAACCGUGCCCCAAAUCAAUUAACCAACGCUCAUAUCGAAAAGAAUCUAAACGUAAUAUUGAAUUAAUGAAGCAAGACUUAUUACUUGAGGGGUGGGAGGAUGUCUAUAAUGAAACUGACGCAAACACAUCGUAUAAUCUCUUAAAUAAUAAAUUACAACAUUAUUAUGAAAAGAAUAUUCCCAUAGGAAAAGUAAAAAAUAAUCGAAAAACACCCAAACAACAAUGGAUAACAAAAGGUUUAUUAAAAUCAAUACAGACACGUAAUUGCCUUUACAAGUCACAUUUACGCAAUCCUACUGAAGCCAAUUUUAAAAAAUACAAAGUAUAUCGCAACAAGUUAACAAAAUUAAUUCGUUUAUCACGUAAAAUGUAUUAUACUAAUAGAAUAAAAGAUGCCAGUUCAAACACUUAUACUACCUGGAAAAUCAUCAAAGAACUAAUGGGAACAAGUGCAGAUCCCCCACCUACUGAUGACAUGACUUUAAAUGGUUCCAAAGUUGACUCUUCCCUUCAUGCAAACUCAUUCAAUUCAUUUUUCACAAAUAUCGGACCCGAACUUGCAAGCAAGAUCAAUAGCCAAAAUGCGCAUUUCACAGAUUACCUCCCCGAACCUAAUCCACAUUCAUUUUUCCUGAACCCGACGAACCCCACAGAAAUUCUGAACAUUACACGGUCUCUUAAUAGCUCCAAAUCUCAUGGGCAUGAUAAAAUUAGUAUGUCUCUUUUA